GUCUUUCAUGUCAUAAUGCCACUAGCCAGCCUUCUUUUGCACACGGCUCUGUUGUCUGUUCUGAAUGUUAGAUGUAGCCACGCCCCCUGAUUUGAAUAGAAGAACGUGAAAUGUAAGACGGCAUUAUGAAAUAAAAGUACCAUGAAAUAAUUACAUGUAUUUAAUAUUUAAAUUAACGUGGGUGUGAGGCGUUAUUGAUUAACGUGGGUGUGAGGUGUUAUUGAUUAACGUGGGUGUGAAAUGUUAUUGAUUAACGUGGGUGUGAGGUGUUAUUGAUUAACGUGGGUGUGAGAUGUUAUUGAUUAACAUCGGUGUGAGGUGUUAAAAACCUUUAUAGAUGAAUUGUUUGCUGGCGGCUUUGGUGAUUCUCUUUGAGCUCUUUGAUGCUUCCACAGGAAACGAACCCGCCCGCAUGAAUUGCUCCACCCGGUUCAAAAAGUCAAAAGAUGGCAUCUGUGAACAGAAAUGAUUAUUAUUAUUACAGUGGCCAAUCUGAUCUGAAGACAAUGUAUUGAUUAGCCAGCUGUGGGAAGAGCCAAUCACAAUUUCGUUUUUGUUCUCAUUUUAGUGUUCAUGAGAAAAUAGAAGAUUGUUUGCUUACUUUUGUAC
ensembl:lncRNA